rnacentral:rRNA from 1 species
GCUCGUCGCAUCCUGGGGCUGAAGCCGGUCCCAAGGGUUGGGCUGUUCGCCCAUUAAAGCGGUACGCGAGCUGGGUUUAGAACGUCGUGAGACAGUUCGGUCCCUAUCCGAUGCAGCCGUAGGAGAUUUGAGGAAGGCUGUCCCUAGUACGAGAGGACCGGGACGGACGCAGCUCUCGUGUGUCAGUUGUCCUGCCAAGGGCACGGCUGAUUUGCGACCUGCGGGUGGGAUAAGCGCUGAAAGCAUCUAAGCGCGAAGCUCGUUCCUAGAUGAGAUCUCCCACAGGGUUAACCUGGUAAGGCCCGUGGCCAGACGACCACGUUGAUAGGCCGGAAGUGUACGUGCGGUAACGCAUUCAGCUGACCGGUACUAAUCGGCCGAGGGCUUGGGAAC